AUUGAACGCUGGCGGAAUGCUUUACACAUGCAAGUCGAACGGUAACAGGUUAAGCUGACGAGUGGCGAACGGGUGAGUAAUGCAUCGGAACGUGCCCGAUCGUGGGGGAUAACGCAGCGAAAGCUGCGCUAAUACCGCAUACGAUCUGAGGAUGAAAGCGGGGGACCGUAAGGCCUCGCGCGAUCGGAGCGGCCGAUGUCAGAUUAGGUAGUUGGUGGGGUAAAGGCCCACCAAGUCGACGAUCUGUAGCUGGUCUGAGAGGACGACCAGCCACACUGGGACUGAGACACGGCCCAGACUCCUACGGGAGGCAGCAGUGGGGAAUUUUGGACAAUGGGCGAAAGCCUGAUCCAGCAAUGCCGCGUGCAGGAAGAAGGCCUUCGGGUUGUAAACUGCUUUUGUACGGAACGAAACGGUCUGGGUUAAUACCCUGGGCUAAUGACGGUACCGUAAGAAUAAGCACCGGCUAACUACGUGCCAGCCGCCGCCGUAAGAC
rnacentral:rRNA from 1 species